CCUACGUGAGGCAGCAGUGAGGAAUAUUGGUCAAUGGGCGCGAGCCUGAACCAGCCAAGUAGCGUGAAGGAUGACUGCCCUACGGGUUGUAAACUUCUUUUAUAAAGGAAUAAAGUGAGGCACGUGUGCCUUUUUGUAUGUACUUUAUGAAUAAGGAUCGACUAACUCCGUGCCAGCAGCCGCGGUAAUACUGAGGAUCCGAGCGUUAUCCGGAUUUAUUGGGUUUAAAGGGAGCGUAGAUGGGUUGUUAAGUCAGUUGUGAAAGUUUGCGGCUCAACCGUAAAAUUGCAAUUGAUACUGGCAGUCUUGAGUACAGUUGAGGUAGGCGGAAUUCGUGGUGUAGCGGUGAAAUGCUUAGAUAUCACGAAGAACUCCGAUUGCGAAGGCAGCUUACUAAACUGCCACUGACAUUGAUGCUCGAAAGUGUGGGUAUCAAACAGGAGUAGAUACCCGAGUAGUC
rnacentral:rRNA from 1 species